rnacentral:rRNA from 1 species
GCUAAAUCGGUGCCAGCAGACGGGGGAAUACGGAGGAUCCAAGGGUUAUCCGGAAGCAUUGUGUUUAAAGGGUCCGUAGUCGGCCUUAUAAGUCAGCGGUGAAAGUUUUUGGCUUAACCAAAAAAUUGCCAUUGAUACUGUAGGGCUUGAAUUAUUGUGAAGUAACUAGAAUAUGUAGUGUAGCGGUGAAAUGCUUAGAUAUUACAUGGAAUACCAAUUGCGAAGGCAGGUUACUAACAAUGGAUUGACGCUGAUGGACGAAAGCGUGGGUAGCGAACAGGAUUAGAUACCCCAGUAGUC